ACGCGGCGGCUCCCGUAAAAACAGUAAAGCGUAGGCCCGCAUAUUUUCGGUUGGCGAGGACACCUCUCCUGGACCGGCGGCGAGAGGAGAAGGACGGCGGAGCCGAGUGAGGAGGGUAGAGUCGAGAGAGGAGGGAGGUUUGGGAUCGGGGCGUGCGGCGGCCAGCGCGCCGAGGCGGAGGAUGAGAGGAGGAGGGGAACUUCGGGCUCGCGCAGACUGGCGCCCCACCGGCCGCCGUUGCCCGCUCGCCCCCGCCGACCCGCGCGGCUCGCCCCCGGCCACACCGUCCGCUUGUCGCCGUCGGCCUCCGCUCCGGUUCCCGCCCGCUCGUCGUUCGCGUGCCCCGACCGCUCCGCCGCGCCCGCGCCCGCCGACCGCGCAGACGCCCGCCGUCGCCGUUGUCGCGCGUCGUCGUCCGUCGCCGCUGGCGCUCGCGCGCCCCGACCGCUCCUACGCCGUCGCACCGUCCCGCCGCUCGUUGCCCUUCAUCGUCCUCGAGCGGCGCGCACACCUCGACGCACCUGGUCACCCAGCUGCGAGGCACGAGAGGGAUGCGGCGUCGUCGGAGAAGCGCAGAGGGGCGGGGACAGCGGCGGCCACUGGGGACACGGGGAAGAAGAGGCACGAGCCGGUGGGGCGCGGUGACGACGUGGACAGCGAAGAGGGAGGCGGAGAUCUGACCCGUACACCUCGCGCCGCGACAGCGGUAACAGGAGCUGCAUGUCCCUCGCGACCGACGUCUCUUCCGGUAGGUGCCACGGCAGCGGGGUGUUGUCUCUUCCAGCUCUUCCUAAGACCCACCAAACCGGAUAGGGAAUACGAAAAGGAAAAAGGGAAAAGUUAAAUGCGAAACGACGAGAAGCUAAACUAGGUAAUGUCACAACAUCGACGUUCACAACCUGACCAGCAAGGAGAUUGGCCUCCGGAACGCUACCAAGACAACCCAAGUCCAUUUUGGGCCGUUACUUGAAAUCUCAAUCAUAGGAGUUCAAUGAAAAAUUGACGUAAUGAUCUGUCGCCAACCGAAAGUCAAUGGUCCAAUCAUAGUAUAGACUUUCUUACCGUUAACACUGUCAUUGAAAUACGACGAACUAUGACACGACAUGAUGUGUAUAUAUAGUAAUG
rnacentral:rRNA from 1 species